CGUGGACACACAUGAAAAAAAACCCACCCCCGAGUCAAGCGACCGCGCCUCGCACCCCCAUCUGGAUCCGCCGCCUCCCCGCCGCCGGCCCGCAUCGUCCGCCGCGCCCUCCUCCCCGUGUCGUCCAAGUCCCUCGCGUGCAAUUCGCCGACGCCGAUGCCCAGGCCGCCGCACUCCGGGCUCGCGCCGGCCGUCUCGAGCGCGUGCCGCCGACCGCGACGGGCUGCUCGGCACACUCCGCGCCGCCACGGGCAACGGGUGGUAGGAGGAGGAGAGGGAGGUGCAGACAGCGGAGCUGGUAGGAGGAGGAGAGGAAGGUGGAGGAGGCAGAGGAGCCAGUAGGAGUAGGAGAGGGAGGUGGAGGCGGCGGAGGAGCGGACGGGGAUGAUGGGGACAGAUCGGACUACAAGCCAGAGGAUGAGGGCAUCACACCGCCUACCGAUUCCUUCCUCCUCGCGUCCCGGUUACAUGGCCGUCGCUGCGGUCGCCCAGCACCGACCGCCUUGCCCCGAUUAGCUUUUCUCAUGGUCAUGGAGCUAUCUCUUAUUAGAUCUGAUUGUAUCCCUGUUUAUGGUGAUUGGGUUGGUGUAGAUGAAUCGACAACUAAGCUCGGGACGUGAUAUGGUGCUCGGUGUAGGUGGCCAUGGUGGACCUGAAGCUGGCUGAGAUAAGCGAUGGGAUUGAGCGGCGGCGCUCCCGAUCCGAUUGGGAGUAGGACGACGGCGGCGAGCACAUGGCGGACGAGAGGAGGAGCAAGAGGGGAGGCGCGGAGGCAGGGCCAUAUGCAUCGGACGCGCGCGUUCGCCGGCAAUCAACGUGGACGCAUUGGCCGUCCAUGGCGGCUCAGGUCGAUGUAGGAGGACGAGGGGAGGAGCUCGCGAGGCCCGGCACUAGGACUGGAGCGGAGGUGGCUGGAUCUGGUGAUUCUGAAGGGGCUGGCGACGAGCGGCUCCGUGGGCGGCGACCUGCGGGGUUCAAGCGGCGGCUGCCAUGAAGGUAUGAGCGAUCUGGUUUCCCCUUUUGUUGUUCUAUACGAGGAUGAUGCAGAUGCCUUUUGGUGUUUUGAGAUGCUACUGAGAAGGAUGGUAAUUUGUAUCUAUGUCAAACUAUACUGCAGGUUGGUAUUUUUGCAUGACUUAAUACAUGAUAUAAAUUUUGUUGCAUCUCAGCAUGAAAAUUUCCACCUCAAGGGACCGACAGGAGUUAUGAAGCGGUUGGAAGCAUUGUGGAAGAUCAUGGAAUUGACAGAUAGGGAAGUAAUAAACUGGUAAGGAUCAAAUAGGCAAAUGGAGUCCUAAUUUUCUUGGAGGUAAAUCAAAGCUCAAUGCUGAACCCUUGGUACCUCCUCCAUGUUAUGUUAGGACAAGAAAACAACCCAAGGGGCACCAAACCAUUUAUGCUCAGCUAGCUUUAGAUUUUUGUUUUUGCAUAAUUAAGAUGACAAGUUUGCAGACAUACGAUACUAGCUAGCUAAUUUUAAUCCCAUUACAAUGUUAUAGAUAGCUUCCUGUAGCUCCAUGUUUUUACACCAGCAAGUGGCACAUUUUGAACUAACCUGGCCCUUUCGCCGGGCUGACAAAGUUGAGAUUUUUUUUUCAAUUUUGUUGCGGAGUCUGCAUACAUAUGCUGCGCGCGCGCUCACCCUCUGCUCAGACACGUUCAAGGCUCUCGACCUCAGCCAACGAUCUGCAUACAUAUGCUGCGCGCGCGCUCGCCCUCUGCUCAGACACCGUCAAGGCUCUCGACCUCAGCCAACGAUCUGCCGAAGAUAACGUGGCAGCCACCAACUUGUGGUUGCUCAGCGUGCGCUCCUUCAUCCGGUUACACAUCGACCACCACAAGAUAUGGUUGUGGUCUCGGCUUUUAGGAUGGAGGCCUUCAACUGCAUUUUCUCAUGGACGAACUGACCAAUGCAGCAUACCUUGCUUCAAUUUCUUUGUCGUAGAAGCUGAGAGUAUAUGGUCUGAAUUUAUAUUAUAGAGUGUGUGUAUGAGAACCGAUUCAGAGUAUGUUGGCCAUUUGCGUUCUGAAGCUUUUUGUUGUAUGAUUUCUAUGGGAGAGAAUGAUACACGAGCCAGUAAUAAUACAACUAAAAUUUGUGAACAUAUCAUUACAAAA